CGCAUCUGUGCAUGCAGCAUAUCAAUAAGCGGAGGAAAAGAAACUAACAAGGAUUCCCCUAGUAACGGCGAGUGAAGCGGGAAGAGCUCAAAUUUGAAAUCUUCAAGGGUUUACCUUUACGAAUUGUAGUUUAAAGAAGUGUUUUCUGCUGAGGUUUUGGUAAAAGUUCUUUGGAAUAGGACAUCAUAGAGGGUGAGAAUCCCGUAUUUGACCUUUACUUUCAACUUUGUGAUACACUUUCAAAGAGUCGGAUUGUUUGGGAAUGCAGUCCAAAAUGGGUGGUAAACUUUCAUCUAAAGCUAAAUAUUGGCGAGAGACCGAUAGCGAACAAGUACCGUGAGGGAAAGAUGAAAAGAACUUUGAAAAGAGAGUUAAACAGUACGUGAAAUUGUCAAAAGGGAAGCGUUUGACACCAGUGCUUGUUUUUCUGAAAAUCAAUUAAAGAACUGUUUAUGCUAAGCUGUUUAGACUUUAUCAGCUAUCUGUUUAGUUUUGAGCUUUUCUUUAAUGCACUUUUCAGUUAACAAGUCAACAUCAAUUUCUUUUGCUGUAAAAAAGCUUGAGGAAGGUGGCUUGAGAUUCGUCUUAAGUGUUUAUAGCCUCUUGCCUAUGCAGUCGGAGAGAUUGAGGUCUGCAGCGUAGAUCCUUCGGGGCUAAAUGCAUUUGUGCUAAGUUAUAGCAUUUUAUAGACAACUUGUUGACUAUGAUUUGUCUUGUAGCUUACUCGCUUAUGUUAUUUUACCUACGCUUAGGAUGUUGAUAGUCACAGCGUGUAC
rnacentral:rRNA from 1 species